rnacentral:rRNA from 1 species
CCUACGGGAGGCAGCAGUGGGGGAUCUUGCGCUAAUGCGCGAAAGCGUGACGCAGCGACGCCGCGUGGGGGAUGAAGGCCUUCGGGUUGUAAACCCCUUUCGGCAGGGACGAAGGGAAACUGACGGUACCUGCAGAAGAAGUCCCGGCUAACUACGUGCCAGCAGCCGCGGUAACACGUAGGGGACGAGCGUUGUCCGGAUUCAUUGGGCGUAAAGCGCGCGUAGGCAGCUCGGAAAGUCGGUCGUGAAAUGCCGGGGCUCAACCCCGGGACUGCGUCCGAUACUUCCGGGCUGGAGGUAGGUAGGGGAGAUCGGAAUUCCUGGUGUAGCGGUGAAAUGCGCAGAUAUCAGGAGGAACACCGGUGGCGAAGGCGGAUCUCUGGGCCUUGCCUGACGCUGAGGCGCGAAAGCUAGGGGAGCGAACAGGAUUAGAUACCCUGGUAGUCCUAGCCGUAAACGUUGGGUGCUAGGUGUGGGCGGACAUCGACCCCGUCCGUGCCGAAGCUAACGCAUUAAGCACCCCGCCUGGGGAGUACGGCCGCAAGGCUAAAACUCAAAGGAAUUGACGGA